UACGGAGGGGGCAAGCGUUGUUCGGAAUUACUGGGCGUAAAGGGCGCGCAGGCGGCUGCUCAAGUCAGGCGUGAAAGGCCUGGGCUCAACCCCGGGAAUUGCGCUUGAGACUGGGCUGGCUUGAGUGCGGGAGAGGAUGGUGGAAUUCCAGGUGUAGCGGUGAAAUGCGUAGAUAUCUGGAGGAACACCGGUGGCGAAGGCGGCAUCCUGGACCGGUAUUGACGCUGAGGCGCGAAAGCUAGGGGAGCAAACGGG
rnacentral:rRNA from 1 species